AUUAAAAACAUGUGAAUCUUGUUUCAGAGAUUACAUGUGAAUAUCCACAUGACCAGCAUGUGUCUAGAUCAUCCAUCAGUGGGGAAAGUAAAUUGGGAGAACAACAAUCUUACAGUUGUGAGGAGGGAUAUCGUGAAACGGCAGAAAAGGCCACAUGUACAAGAGACGGAUGGACACCUAACCCACUCUGUAUUGAAAUAACCUGUGAGCUGAAGUCAAUCACACCUGAAGUAAAAAACUUCAAGCCACAGAAAAAAAAUUUCAAAGCUGGAGAAAGUGUGGAGAUCAUCUGCUCAGAAAAAGCAUGGGUUUUUACAAAAGAAACCAGCAAAACAUUCAUGUGCCAAGAUAACGGGGGAGUGGGACCAUGAGCCUGUUUGUCAAGAGAUUACAUGUGAACAUCCACAUGACCAGCAUGUGUCUAGAUCAUCCAUCAGUGGGGAAAGUAAAUUGGGAGAAAAACAAUCUUACAGUUGUGAGGAGGGAUAUCGUGAAACGGCUGAAAGUGCCACAUGUACAAGAGACGGAUGGACACCUAACCCACUCUGUACUG